rnacentral:lncRNA from 1 species
UUCUGUGUUGUAGCUGCCUGGCCAGGGCGACUGGCGGAUAAGGUCUUGUGCGUGGCCUCGAGGCUUAAAAGUAGCAGUGGGGCUUUGUGAAGGACAAAAUGGCGAUGGCGGGCCGUGUAGGUCCCCCUUCCUAUGAUGAGGACCUUUUCACAGACCUGUACUGAGCUCCGUGAGGAUAAAUAACUCUGAGGAGAUGGGCCCUGCAAGCCUCUUGCUUAGCCGUCUGUUCAGAAAAUAGCGUUUUCGAAAUGCCCUGAGUUGACCUAAUGUCUUAUUGGGCUCCUGUCUGCAGGAUUUACGCGCACGUUGGAACCGAAGAGAGCUCUGUUGUUGCAAUGUUCAGCCCACAAGAGCUUACUGGUGAAGGAAUGGGACAAGACCCAUCUUUAUGCAAAGCCAGCGUUACAGUAAUGUUCCAGGUAGGUGUACAUGGUUUAUGCUCUUACAGAGGAGACCUUGUAGAUAACCACUCCAUGAUGAACACAAAAUGACAAGCAUAUGGCUGAACUUUCAAGUGAUGUCAUCUUACUACUGAGAAGUGAGAGAGAGGUCUUAAGGGGUCUUUGAAUGACUAUUUUUAGGUACAUAAAAUGCUUUCCUCUGUUGUCUACAGCAUCUCAUAAUCUAUCCUGGGGAAUUCAGCUGCCUCCCAGGGUGAAUACAGGUAAUUAUCCAAAUUGGUGUAUGUCAUCUUUGUAAAUGUUCAAGAAAACAAGUGGCCGGCGGAACAAUGUUUUUUGGCGCCUUCCAUCUUGUUCCUCUUGAAAUGAUUUUCUGGGGAGGGAGAUCGCAACCCGGUACUACAGUUCUUGUAAGGGUGUGCUGUUACCCUCAUCCAUAUAUCGAUCACGUUACUGUCAGAUGAUUUGA